ACAUAUGUCUUAACAAUAGAAUGCUGGACUCUCUGCCAUUGUCCAUGCCCACAAUGAUGGACAUUUGACUGUGUAAGAAGAACUGUACUAUAAUAACGAUACAGGGGAGAUCAAUAAUGGGGAAAGG